rnacentral:lncRNA from 1 species
CAGGACCCAUAUCUGCUUUCUUCAUGUUUCCUGAUCCCACCCUGGGUCUGCAGUUGCACAUUUCUGGAAACUUCUCUGGGGUCCGAGACUUGGAGGUUCCUCUAGGACCUUAUGGCCCUGGCUUCUUUCUGGCAUCUCACAGGACAUUUUCUUCCCACAGAUAGAAAAGGAGGGAGCUACUCUCAGGCUGCAAGCAGCAACAGUGCCCAGGGCUCUGAUGUGUCUCUCACGGCUUGAAAGGUGAGACCUUGGGGGGCCUGAUGUGUGGGGGAUGUUGGGGGGGAACAGUGGACACAGCUGUGCUAUGGGGUUCUUUGAAUUUGAUGUUUUGAGCAUGCGAUGGGCUGCCAAAGUGUCAUCCAUUACUGGGACAGAUAUGAAUUUGUUCAUGAAUAUUUUUUCUAUAGUGUGAGACAGCUGCCUUGUGUGGGACUGAGAGGCAAGAGUUGUUCCUGCCUUCCCUUUGUGACUUGAAGAACCCUGACUUUCUUUCUACAAAGGCACCUGAAUGUGUCUGUGUUCCUGUAGGCAUAAUGUGUGGAGGAGGGGAGACCAACCCACCCUCAUGUCCACCAUGACCCUCUUCCCCACGCUGAUCUGUGUUCCCUCCCCAAUCAUCUUUCCUGUUCCAGAGAGGAGGGGCUGAGAUGUCUCCAUCUUUUUCUCAACUUUAUGUGCACUGAGCUGUAACUUCUUACUUCCCUCUUAAAAUUAGAAUCUGAGUAAACAUUUACUUUUUCAAAUUCUUGCCAUGAGAGGUUGAUGACUUAAUUAAAGGAGAAGAUUCCUAAAAUUUGAGAGACAAAAUAAAUGGAAC